AAGUGACGCGAAGCGGCCGGCCUGGGCGCCGACUGCAGAGCCGGGAGGCUGGUGGUCAUGCCGGGGUUCCUGGUUCGCAUCCUUCCUCUGCUGCUGGCUCUGCUGCUUCUGGGCCCUACGCGCGGCUUGCGCGCAGCAACAUCACAGAUGCUUUCCUAAGCCAGAGGAAGUGUGAGCCCAAAGGACCCUUGACCAAGGCUUGGCAGGGCAAUGCCCAAGAAAAACAUGAAGUGUUUGAGGCCUGCUUUGCAGAAUACUGGGACAAGUCUUCCUCGUUAUAAAUCAGCCUGAGAUCUGAAAAUCUGGAUUCAUACAAAGAUCAAUUCUGAAUUCUAUACUGGCUGGCUAGACCACUGGGGCCAACCUCAUUCCACAAUCAAGACCGAAGCAGUGGCUUCCUCCCUCUAUGAUAUACUUGCCCGUGGGGCGAGUGUGAACUUGUACAUGUUUAUAGGUGGGACCAAUUUUGCCUAUUGGAAUGGGGCCAACUCACCCUAUGCAGCACAGCCCACCAGCUACGACUAUGAUGCCCCACUGAGUGAGGCUGGGGACCUCACUGAGAAGUAUUUU
rnacentral:sRNA from 1 species